AACGAACGCUGGCGGCAGGCUUAACACAUGCAAGUCGAACGCCCCGCAAGGGGAGUGGCAGACGGGUGAGUAACGCGUGGGAAUCUACCGUGCCCUGCGGAAUAGCUCCGGGAAACUGGAAUUAAUACCGCAUACGCCCUACGGGGGAAAGAUUUAUCGGGGUAUGAUGAGCCCGCGUUGGAUUAGCUAGUUGGUGGGGUAAAGGCCUACCAAGGCGACGAUCCAUAGCUGGUCUGAGAGGAUGAUCAGCCACAUUGGGACUGAGACACGGCCCAAACUCCUACGGGAGGCAGCAGUGGGGAAUAUUGGACAAUGGGCGCAAGCCUGAUCCAGCCAUGCCGCGUGAGUGAUGAAGGCCUUAGGGUUGUAAAGCUCUUUCACCGGAGAAGAUAAUGACGGUAUCCGGAGAAGA
rnacentral:rRNA from 1 species